CCAUUGGCCGCGCGCGCCGCCAGUCACGCGCAUGUAAACACCUUGGCCCUCAGCCAUUCCUAUAAAACCAAUUACGGACCUGGGGGCUCCAGCAGUUUCCAGGCUCCCCUCGGCGGGGCUGAAUGAUCAAAACUGGUGGUGAGAAUUUUUCCGGGCCGUUUCUAGGCAGCCCUCCCCCUCCACCAGCUCCGACAACCCCCCUUCUCCUCCUCCUCCCUUUUCCUCCCCCUCCCCCAGCGUCUGGGCUUAGUGAUCAAAAUAGAGGAAGAUGGUUGUCGCCGCAAUCCUGGGCUUUGCAAGGCGCGGUUUAAUGGACCGCCUGUCAGCUUCCUGCUCGCAGGAGGAGGUGACAAGCCGAGCGAACCGGGAAGGGCCCGGGGCCCAGCAGGCUGCACCCCGCGCCCGGGCUCCGGUCCCCCUCCACCCCGGGGACGCGACUUCUAGAACGCGCGGUGACGACGCCAAAACAGACUAGGGCUGCUUUUUCCUCCCGCCCCCCCCCCUUUAAAACAAAGCAGCGAUUCAUCCCCUCUCCCCCCAGCAGCGCGGUUAGGUAGGAUGGGCUGGCGAGAAGGUCGCUUUCCUAGCCCAGGCCUGCGGGUCCCUCCCUGAAACGCGGUGUCAGAUGGUUACUGAUUAAUAUUUUGGCGAGGCCUCGGCGGCCGGCAGCGGCAAAAUCCUUUCUGGUUUGAGUCGCCGGGAGCUGCCCGCGGCAACCUACUUGGCUGCUGGCGUGAGGAGCGCGGAUGCGGCGCGUCGGAGGGACCCCGCACCCUCCGCACCCGCGGGGACGGCCAGGCAUUACGUACCCUCAAUAGGAAGCUGGGAAGGGCAGACGUCCUAGCCGCUCCAGCCUCGGCGAGCUACCGCGGUGAUUGGAUUUUUUUAUUGGGUUUUAAUUAAAACAAGAGGACCCCGCUCUUCCCCCCCCCCACCCCCCGCACUGCGGACUCAGCGUUUGGCGUUGCCUGUUCUAUUUUUUUAAAUAAAUUUUUAAGGCAACUUUUCUUGGGAGAGGGGGGAAUUAGCUAGUUAGCGCCCAUUAGUUCUAUUUUCUUUUAUCCACUUUUAGAAAACAAGAGGGGUGAGCGUCCAGAGCUAACUGGGGCUGUCUAAUUUAAUUCCAGAAUAAAUUUGGGGGAAAAGUUCAGCCCCUUGAGGACAGUUUCAAGUUGCCCUUCCCGAAGCCUCCAGCGCUGGUUUCUAGGCUGCCCUCUUUUGGAAGCAGAAGCUCCGCGGGGGGAGGAAGGAGGGGUGAGAAGGAAAGAAGAAAGGAACGAAAAUAGCCGAAUCCGAGGGGAACUAGCGGCGGUGUCCUCGCUUGGAGCAGGGCGCACAGGUCUCGGUGGUGGCCGGGCAGCCCCGGGCAGCCAGGAGCAGAGACGGAGAGGAGGGGGUGAGGGGAGAGAAAGGAGGUAUUGUGUCUGUGUUCCUUGGAGGAGGGGGAUGGCUGCAGAAAUAAAAUAAACGCAGUUGUGCUGGCGAGGCUGCUGGAAGCCCAGGCAGGGGAAGGGGCCGAGCGCGGGGGCGCAGCCCUGGUGGGCGCCGAGCGUCCUCCAGUCUUAUCCCGAGGCCUCUGUGGGUUCCUUGUAAACCCCCCCACGCCAGAGCCCCGUCGCUUCCCCACCCCUCGGGUUGCCCUCCAAUAUUCGGAGCUCAGACCCCGCUUCCCCUCACCCCUUGUCUCCGCCCAGGUCUGGAAUGUUUUCUUUUCUUUUAAUAUAGCGCAAGGAAAAAAAUGUGUCUUGAGAGCCGGGGUGGGGAUCACAAAGCGCUCGCAGGGUGGAAAAUAACAAAGCCUAUUUUUAUAAAUGUUUAAUGUUUUCCCCCCUGGAUGCUCCAAGACGCCGUAAUUGUGACGGCGGGGCAUGUGUGCCAUAAAUCAUUUAGUUGCUAAUAAAAAUUCUGCCUGUUUGCCCUGGA